rnacentral:rRNA from 1 species
GACGAACGCUGGCGGCGUGCUUAACACAUGCAAGUCGAACGGUGAAGCGCCUUCCUUUUUGGUGGGUGUGGAUGAGUGGCGAACGGGUGAGUAACACGUGAGUAACCUGCCCCCUUCUUCUGGAUAACCGCAUGAAAGUGUGGCUAAUACGGGAUAUUCUGGGUCUGUCGCAUGAUGGGUCUGGGAAAGAUAUUGUUUCGGUGGGGGAUGGGCUCGCGGCCUAUCAGCUUGUUGGUGGGGUGAUGGCCUACCAAGGCGGUGACGGGUAGCCGGCCUGAGCGGGUGGACGGGCAGACGGGGGAUGAGGCACGGCCCAGGCUGCUACGGGAGGCAGCCGGGGGGAAUAGGGGACAAUGGGGGGGAGACUGAUGCAGCGACGCCGCGUGAGGGAUGGAGGCCUUCGGGUUGUGAACCUCUUUCGCCAGUGAAGCAGGCCUGCCUCGUUUGUGGGUGGGUUGACGGUAGCUGGAGAAGAAGCGCCGGCUAACUACGUG